rnacentral:tRNA from 1 species
UCACUGGAGGACUAGUGGUUAGGCCACAGCGCUCUCACCGCUGUGGCCCUGGUUCGAUUCCCAGCCAGGGAA